CCUGCAGGCAAAUAGAAGAUGAUUAAAAAAUCCAAAUUUCCAACAGUCAUGAAGGGAGUAAUGAAUAACAGUGUGGGAAAAGGAUCAGAGAAAUGGGAGCUGAGGAAGGACAGUAUUAACAAUAAAAUCUUAUACAUGCGUCCUCCAGUCUGGAUCUGAGUACAGCAUUUAGUCUCAGUUGCUGUUUCUGUGUUUUGUUUUCAUGUUUUACAGCGACAAUGAGGUUCUAAAACAUUGCUGAUGCCCAGGUUGCUCUACAGAUCAGCAGCAACAAUGGCUACUUCUCAUCACUGCAUGUAGUUGUCAAGUUCAAAAAGAAUGUGAAAGUUGAGCCCAUUUACACUGGCUCUCAGUUUGGUUCAUUCCCUCUCACACCUCUGGCUGAGGUCCAUUUGGCUGAUGAACCUGGAACAUAAAGUCUGCUAGGUAUUAUAAAACAAUUAUUUAAUUUUAAAAGUCUUUUUCAUUGCAUCCUAAUAGGAUUUCCAUAAAAUACAGAGUUCUCCACAAUAUCCAGGGAACUUUUGUUUACACCAUAAACUAUGACACUUUUUGAAGAGAUCUGGAAGAUUUACAGAGAGGAAACUUCCAGAGACAGAGCUGUCUGGCCUGGCAUCCAGGGACUGAGCCUACUGUAGAGUUACAUCCUCCAGAAGCAGGAAACGUAUGGAAUCAUUUGAGCUUAAGAGACUGUGACAUUUUUAUAGAAUGAAAGGAGUAACUGAGAGAUACAGUGACAGAGCUGGGAGCUGCAGCUGGCUGGCUGUUCCAUGGAGCAUUCCCUUCAUAGAUUUUUAUGACUCUCCUAGCCCUAAUAUUAAACACUUGACCUUUUUGUCAAAUACUAUUUUAUAUUAUUAGGUUGGAUGAUUAGUUACUAAAUAUACCAUCUAUAGUAAAUAGGAAAUUGUGUAGUCUGAUGCUUUUAGUCUUAGACCUUUCAGGUAUUGGUCCUUUGGCAUUUAACAUUACAACAUUGAGUGCUCUUAUAUUAAGUCCCUUGGUAAGCAAGAAGUGCACAGCACUUUCACAUAGGGCAGAGGAGUUUCUGAAGCAGAAUUACCAGAGUGGAGAAUGCUGUAAACAUUGUAAAGUCAGGGAUAACUAGGAGCCAGCUGUUGCUGAACAAUGCACCUUAAUCUACAGCCUAGGAAUAAGAGCAUUUACUUUUUAAAAUUCUAUAAACCAGAACUUUGUAAAUGCCUCUUCCCUGUACCUCUCUCCCUGGUGAACAAUUCUAUCCAUCCCCUCCCUUAUCACAUGCAAAAUAGUACUGAUGUUAGAAGCAGAAUUAAUAAUUGGCUUUUUUACCUCUCCCUCCCAGCACUUCAUGCCCUGUUUUGGGAAACCCUGCUGCAAGCCACUCCCUCCCAUAAAUCCCACCUCAAAUAUUUGGAUUUAAAGAUGCCCUCUGUGUUGCUUACUUCACCUCUUGGCACACACCAGUGCAGUGACAUGUGACAACAUGAGGCUUAGGGCAGUUCCUAGUCAUUGCUUCCAGAAUGGGAAUGAGCCAGGAUUCCUCCACUGUCCUGAACAACACCAACCUGCAAUGGUGGAGCUUCAGCAGCUGAGGAUUUUCUCCCCAGGCAUCAUACAGAUAUUUGCCGAUCCCAGAAAGCCACAGAACAAGAAAGACUGGUUACAGGCCCAGCAAUCCCACCUGUUAGAUGUUUCAUUUGUAUUACCCAAUACAGUGGGUAUUCAAAGCCUUAAACAUUCAGUCCUUGAUUACAGGAUAUAUCUCUGCAGCACAGGACAACACUGAGAGGGCUUUUCUGGCCUAAUCAGAAGAAUCAGCACAUACCUGAUUAUCUCAGUGCUUUGCUCCCAGCUGUUAUAUGAAACUUGUGAACCCACCUGCCUUUAUACUUCGAAGAAGUUUACACCUGCCCUAGCUGGAGAUCUAAACUUCUGAAAUCUAUAGGCAAAGUGAUGACUAAUUCAAAUGCCGUUUUAUAUAUGGAUCUUGUUUGCUCCACUGCCACUAUGGGACUACUCUGGAAGCACAGAAGGAGUCUUCUCAGAAGCUUUGACAACUAUAGAAUGAGGCUACUCACUCCAUUGCAAGGCAGAGAAAAAUGAAUUAAAAAGGACAAAUAACAUGUGUUCUCCAUACUGUAAAUGACCUGACAAAUGCAUGCUGGCCUGAUUACCUUGAUGCCUGGCUUUCUUCAAGACAACUGGAUUAGGGACAAACUCUCUGGUUUGGCAAAGUAGCUCUGUAGGCCGAGUACUGCACCUCUUGGUAAGGCUUACCACUAUGUCCAAUAAAAACAGGUGACCAGAAGAGUCUGAAAUUUUUAGCAGAUAUAUAAAAGGAAGAAUAUAUUAAAUUAAGUUUAUAGAAGAACAAGGAGGAUGACCAAACAAGAGCCAUGCUGGUAAUUUCUUAAUUACUCUAUCUGCUAAAGAAAUAGGUAACAUUUAGAUAAAUUACAUAGACUCCAUGUAGCACAAAGAAGUUACUGUUCUUCCUCCCACUCCCUUAAUGAAAUUUAUGAUUCUGCAAUUUAUUAAAUCCUUCUCUCACA